rnacentral:rRNA from 1 species
GGGAUGACACAGUAGGAUAAGCUAAGCACACUGUUGGUUAUGUGUGCCCAAGCAUUGAGGCAGUCAAAGUAGGCAAAUCCGCUUUGAUAAUGCUGGGAUGUGAUGGGGAGCGAAAUUUAGUAGCGAAGUAGCUGAUUUCACACUGUCAAGAAAAGUCUCUAUCGAGGUUAAAGGUACCCGUACCGCAAACCGACACAGGUGGGUGAGGAGAGUAUCCUAAGGCCA